UACGAAGGGGGCUAGCGUUGUUCGGAUUUACUGGGCGUAAAGCGCACGUAGGCGGACUAUUAAGUCAGGGGUGAAAUCCCGGGGCUCAACCCCGGAACUGCCUUUGAUACUGGUAGUCUUGAGUUCGAGAGAGGUGAGUGGAAUUCCGAGUGUAGAGGUGAAAUUCGUAGAUAUUCGGAGGAACACCAGUGGCGAAGGCGGCUCACUGGCUCGAUACUGACGCUGAGGUGCGAAAGCGUGGGGAGCAAACAGGAUUAGAUACC
rnacentral:rRNA from 1 species